AGAAGAGUCCACUUCUUUUUCAGUUUGUGGUGGUGACAAAAAACUAUACUGCACAGACAAGAGGUGACUUCAUCUGGCAUCUAUUUUAAAAAAGGAAAAAAUCUCCCCCAAAAACAGAUCUAAGACGCAUUUGACGGUUGAACACCCUAGCACUUUUUAGGGCCCUGCCAAACACCAGCGCUAGCCUUGAGACUCAUCAGUAACAGUCAUCUGCAGGAUUCACGCGGCCCGUUCCAGCUGCCCAGCCAGGAUAAAGCUAAGACCUUUCUAAGUUAGAGGGAAGAAAAUAUGCAAAACCACUAACAGGGGAAGAUCAUAGCUUACUUGGGAAACUAGUAGCAGCAGGUCUUUCUGCACUGUCCUGCAAAAUGAACCAGUUAAUUAAGAGCCCGAGAAGAAGCCCUCAACACA
rnacentral:lncRNA from 1 species